rnacentral:rRNA from 1 species
UACGUAGGCAGCAAGCGUUGUUCGGAAUUACUGGGCGUAAAGAGUGUGUAGGCGGUGUUCUAAGUCUGUUGUGAAAUCUCCCGGCUUAACCGGGAGGGUGCGGCGGAAACUGGAAUGCUAGAGGAUGGGAGAGGUAAGCGGAAUUCCCGGUGUAGUGGUGAAAUGCGUAGAUAUCGGGAGGAACACCAGUGGCGAAGGCGACUACCUGGCCUGUUCUUGACGCUGAGGCGCGAAAGCUAGGGGAGCAAACGGG